UCUGCCAGUUGCUCAGUAGGCAGUGUAGAUCCUGUGUAGCAAUCAGCAGCUACAUCUGGCUACUGGGUCUCUGACAGCUUUG
rfam:Tetraodon nigroviridis chromosome undetermined SCAF17358, whole genome shotgun sequence.